UUAAAGCUUGUGGAUAUUUCUUCCCCCUCGGGGAAAGCUUAUGUGAGGAUUUUCUUUUUUAACAGUUCAUUUCGUGAAACCAUUUUUUUUCCUUGUUUGCUGUUAGAAAAUGUUGGAGCUGAACACAAGGCUUUCAUUGCAGCACACUUUACUGGGAAGCAUGUUACUCCUGGGCACGUGCUGUCUGCAGGGGAGAUAGUUGUUUGCUAUUUUGUAUUUCUUCUUAGAUUGCUAUCAAGGGAACUAAGAAAGGAUGUUGACAUAUUGUUGAUGUGUCUCUCCAAGCUGUAUUUGAGGAGGCCAGCUUUUAUAGCGCAUCCAUAGGAAGCGUCUCCACUACAGCCUUUCACCACACAGGAGACAGACUGAAGAUGUAGGCAGCUGGCAAAUGUGAAAGCAAUGAAGAGGUGUUCUGAGGCUGACAGUGCUUUUUAUAGUAUGUGCGUUUUCUGGGAAGGGCAUAAGAAGGGAGAUAAACAGGAGAAGAUUGUGGCAAGCUGAAAAGUAGCUGUAGCAGAUCAAGAUGUUCCAAAGAGAAGAUCACAGCAAAAAGGUUCUCAGGCUCCAUCAGCCACCAGCUGAUCACAUUGCAGCAGCGUAGGUGUUGCCAUGAGGAUCAGGAGCUGUCCUGUCUGCUUCGCGGCUUGUCUUUUGGUCCUGUUGGGUAAAAACCAGAGAGAGCCAAAUAUAGAGGCAGAGCACACCUUUUAAGAGAGCUGACAAGCCAGUUCCUGCACAUACAUGCAUCUGUGUGAGAGUACUCCAAGUCCAGGGGCCUCUGUGGCACUGCAUGGAUGCAAGAACUGUUGCAUGUGUGGGGUUAGACUCUGCUUUUUGAGAGAUGAUGCUCCGACGAGGAUGUAUUCUAUUUCUCCCCCGACUUGUAGGCCUGCUGGUGGUGGCCUGUUGCUUGGUGUCUAUUGUUUAUAUGUUGGCUUGCACACCCAAGGGUGACAACCAGCAGCUUGUCUUGCCCAGAGUGCACAGUCCAACUGUGAAGGAGGGAUAUGAAGCCAUUCUGCAAGAGCGAGAAGAGCAACACCGCAACUAUAUCAUCAGCUUGAAGAAACAAAUUGCCCAGCUGAAGGCUGAGCUCCAGGGCAGGAAUGAGCAGCUUAAGAACGUGCAGGACCAGUACCCAGACCCCCUGGACAUUCGGCUUGACAAUAGUAACCCAGAGAAGGUCCAGGCUAACCUGCUGGCUUUUCUCCGUUCCCAAGUAGACAAAGCAGAGGUGCACAGUGGCGUUAAGCUCUCCACAGAGUAUGCGGCCGUGCCCUUUGAGAGCUUUACCCUGCAGAAGGUGUACCAACUGGAGACAGGGCUGACGCGUCACCCAGAAGAGAAACCUGUAAGGAAGGAUAAGCGAGAUGAGUUGAUAGAGGUGAUCGAGUUAGCUGUUGGGAGUUUGAACAAACCAGAGGGGGACAGCAAUGCAAAACACCGUGUAUACACAGCCUCUGACUUCAUUGAAGGGAUCUACCGCACAGAAAAAGACAAAGGCACGUUGUAUGAGCUGACUUUCAAAGGAGACACAAAACAUCAGUUCAAGAAGAUUGUUUUAUUCCGGCCAUUUGGUCCUGUAAUGAAAGUGAAAAAUGAAGAUGUCAAUAUGGCUGACACACUUAUUAAUGUCAUUGUGCCAUUGGCCAAGAGAGCCAGCAAAUUUCGACAAUUCAUGCAGAAUUUCAGGGAAAUGGGCAUUCAGCAGGAUGGGAGAAUUCACCUCACUGUAGUUUACUUUGGAAAAGAACAAAUGAAUGAAGUCAGAGCAAUACUUGAAAAUACCUCCAAGUCAGCCAACUUCAAGAACUUCACCUUCAUCCAGUUGAAUGAAGAAUUUUCCAGGGGCAAAGGACUAGACAUUGGUGCUCGAUUUUGGAAAGGAAACAACGUUGUUCUCUUUUUUUGCGACGUGGACAUAUACUUCACAGCUGAAUUCCUUAACUCCUGUAGACUGAACACACAGCCAGGGAAGAAGGUGUUUUAUCCUGUUCUCUUCAGCCAGUAUAACCCCAGUAUAAUUUAUGGCCACCAUGAUUCCAUCCCAUCUUUAGAACAGCAGCUGAUUAUUAAAAAAGAAACUGGAUUUUGGAGAGACUUUGGUUUUGGGAUGACUUGCCAAUACAGAUCUGAUUUUAUCAACAUAGGUGGCUUUGAUCUGGACAUUAAAGGCUGGGGUGGUGAAGAUGUACAUCUGUACCGCAAAUACCUUCACAGCAACCUCAUCGUGAUCCGAACUCCUGUCAGGGGUCUCUUCCAUCUGUGGCAUGAAAAGCAAUGUCUGGACGAGCUGACCCCAGAGCAGUACAAAAUGUGCAUGCAGUCCAAGGCCAUGAACGAGGGUUCUCAUGGCCAGCUUGGGAUGCUUGUUUUCAAGCAAGAGAUUGAGACUCACCUGCACAGACAGAAACUGAGCAGUAAGAAGACAUGAAGCCAGAAAGGGAGGCAAAAAGCCUCUGAAUUGGACUAUGGGGUGUUUUGGAAAAGAGUUGCUAACAAGAAAACAGGGGACAAGACUGAAAGGAUGGAGAUUCCAGCGGGGUGGCCGCAAAAGAAGAUGAGGGAAAAUGCUUAUCCUCUCUUCUUCUGUUUUUUUCUUAAUAGGGCUUCUAAGCACGCCAUUAGCCUGACUGUUCAGCACUUGCUUCUGGGAGAGACUUGAACAAUUGAUGAGAUUCAAGGUCAUGGAGACAAUGAACAUGACAUAAAUAUGUGGCAUUCACAAUAACAAAUGGAUGUGCUCUUCCAUUGAAAUGUUUGUAAGAUGUGUACAGUUAUUUAAAGGAUUUACCCUUUGGUGGGACGAUAAUAAUGAGUUAUUUUCUACAUCUAACCUGACAUAUCUAAAAAGGGCUAUUUUUGAAUAAGUACAGAGCUCUUGCUCUGAGAAGGACAUCUUAUUGUUAAUGAUGGUUAAGCUGGAGUGACCAAAAAUCUUCUUCCUUUAAGGGGCUGGGGUGGGGGGACAGCAGCAGUGCGCUCGCUAGCAGGGUAUUCCGAGUUCAAUCAGAGAGAAGAGGCAUAUCAGAAAGUGCUUUCUAAAAUUUAGAAAGAGAAAGCCCUACUGGUCAAGUGUGAUGUUUCAAAAAUGCUGGAGGGUAGUGUUUAUUCUCUUCUGUGAACAGUGAAGGAAAAGCAAUGAGCCAUGUCUGUAUCACAUGAAUCAGAUGGUGUGUUUCUGCUUUAGAAUACCGUAAGUAUCUCAAAAUUUAUUUUUAAAUGGUUUUGCUUGGGAAUUAUUUUUUCAUACUUCAGGUUUUCUACUUCUAGCCUUACUAGGAAUACAGCCUUCCAACACUUGGAAAAUGAUCUGCGGAUCUGUGUUUCCUGUGGAUGGGAACUGUGUUCAGAUAAGUAAAGUGAUUUUUCUACACGACCUGGGUGCUGGAAGGCAGAAGCUUUACCGUGCUGAAGAAAAGGAAAAUACGUAUCAACUCACAGUACUGAUUUAGCAGGAGGCUUUAAACUCUGAAUGGUCACAUACCAAAACUGAUGAACAUUUUCUGACUUUAUACCAAAGUAUUCCUUCUAAACCAAAUAUAAAAUCUUGCCCAGGGCAUAGCAAGCUUUUUGUAAUUAACAAAAUAAAUUUUUGUGAUGGAUUACUGGACCCUGCAAAUUCUCUUACGAUAAUUAUAAGUGCAUCCUAAAAAUCAGUCUCCUUCUUAACGGAUUUUUUUUUCCGAUUGCCUAAAACCAUUGAAAGCAUGAGUUACUGCUCUUGUAAAGCAUUCUCUUUUAUUGCCGACUGCUGUUUAUCAUUUUAAUAUAUACUACCCAACAAAAACUGCAUGGGCUUGGAAACCCCAUUUGCUUACCUAAAUGCUGUUUCCCUGAGCAGUCUCAUUGUUUUAUAGCUUCAGAUUAAUUCAAGGCAGUCUGAAACUAGAUUCUAAUUUGUUUUUUGGCUUGUAAAAGCUGGGGGAAGAAAUAUGCAAGAUAACACUGAACAAUGAAUAAAACAUUAUUUGUCACACCACUGCGCGGUAGGAAGAACACUUAUGGACCUCUUUUGAAAGCAUUGCAUGCAGAAUCUACAGGCAGAGAUCAUGCUACUAGAUGCUGUUCCUCCUGCCAGGAAUAAUAUUAUCUAUGCAGUUCCUGUUCCUUGGCUGCAGAAGCCAGUUUGGCAAGAGAGCAUCCCUUGAAGAAAGAAAGUUUCUAGAGAGAAGCUGCCCAAGGCAAGCCAGCACCCUCGAUUCCCAACGACCUCAAGUCAUCCUUGCUCCACAGACUUUUAGGGCCAUAGAUACACAAAACACUUCGUGAUUUGUCCCCAGCAGGACAACAGCUAUGGCGUGUUCUUCACAAGAGAACAGGUCAGUGCCCCGGGGAACUUGGAGAAGGACCCACAUGGCUGACCUCUGUCUUCAUGAAACAAUGUCUGUGCUCGGUGUGGUAACACAGUGACACAACUCUGGCAGUUCUCAGAAAGAGCUGUGCUCGUCUCGCAGGCAACCGCUGCUUCUUUGGUGUGAAAUCCUGCCUUGCCUGGAAAGUGCUGGAGCAAGGACUGUGCAGCAUGCAGUUAAGCAGGACAGGGUGGUUUGUGGACUGUGCUCCUGCCUGUGUUCGUGGGAGGGACAAGGGUGGAUCCUGGAGUAAGGACAUGCCCUCUGCUCAGGAAAGCCCUAUUCUAACAAGGGAAUUCCCUGAUAGUACAGUUUCUGCUUCCCAUCUUGUUCUCCACCCUAACGUCAGAUGCAUGGCAGGAACUUGCCUUCUUUUGUGGUCACCCAGUGGGUGAUAAGCAGAACCCACUAGAGCACUUCAGCGGAGCAGGUUCACCCUGACCACGUCUGCUGCAGUGCAGGGGGUCUGUAGGAUUCUUUGCAGACUGUGGGCAUGGCUCUAUCUUUAAUAUAGAUAUGCGGAGCCAGGCUCUAAAUCCUCUGGCUCUGGUACCAAUAGCCAUAUAGCUCCUGCUUUCAACCAUUUCAGCCUGAACUCUGAAACCCAUGCAAGAUGCAUGUUCAGGUAGCCCAGGUAGAACUCCAUAUAGCAAAUGAACAUAGAUAUUUUCCUCAUGUGCAAUUCUGUUUAGCCAUGCCUACAUUAGGCUAGGCUCUUAUUUAAAAGAAACACGGAUUUUAAAUGAACCUUUAGGCAAAAUGAUUGUCCUGUCCCUGGGGCAGAUCUUACAGUAAAGGAAUGAAUAAUCAAUCUGACCCUCUUUGGAGCCCAUGUAACUGCAGUCAGUGCUAGUAAACAAUGCUGUUAUUCUUGCAAGAACCUGCCAGCCUUCUUCCCUUCUAUUUUUUAUCUUUGCUCAGUAUCACACCUUGCCUGCUUUGAGAUUAUAAGGAUACCUUGUUCUCUUUCGUGCUGAAGCUGGAGGCAAGCAGGAUUCUCUGCUUAUGCAACUUGCCAGGACCCCACAACCACGGAGAGAAUCCAAAAAAAAGGAGUCUGUGUGAGUAUGCUGUCACCUUGUCAGCGUUUGUGUAAGUAACUUGAGCCCUGUGUGCAAGGUGUUCUGUGCGCUUGAGGGGGAGUGAGUCAGGUCUAAGAUGUUUGAGAUGUAUUAGGUCUCCUGAGAUGUGCCUGUCAGGCUGGCAUACCCUUCUGGAGCAACACACAGGAUACCCAGUGCCAGCUAAAAUGGGUCUAGUUACCUACUUUAAAACAACUGAAUCUAUUCUUUCUUCUUUUGAAGUGCCCUGAAGCAAUUAAACAAGCAGUUAAUUAAUGCAUU